rnacentral:rRNA from 1 species
AUUGAACGCUGGCGGCAGGCCUAACACAUGCAAGUCGAACGAGUGGCGGACGGGUGAGUAAUGUCUGGGAAACUGCCUGAUGGAGGGGGAUAACUACUGGAAACGGUAGCUAAUACCGCAUACCAUCAGAUGUGCCCAGAUGGGAUGAGCUAGUUGGUGGGGUAACGGCUCACCAAGGCGACGAUCCCUAGCUGGUCUGAGAGGAUGAACAGCCACACUGAGACUGAGACACGGUCCAGACUCCGACGUGAGGCAGCAGUGGGGAAUAUUGCACAAUGGUCGCAAGCCUGAUGCAGCUAUGCCGCGUGUAUGAAGAAGGCCUUCGGGUUGUAAAGUACUUUCAGCGGGGAGGCGUUACCCGCAUAAGAAGCAACGGCUAACUCCGUGCCAGCAGCCGCGGUAAUUC